rnacentral:rRNA from 1 species
GAUGAACGCUGACGGAAUGCUUAACACAUGCAAGUCAACUGUGGCGGACGGGUGAGUAACGCGUAAAGAACUUGCCUCCCAGAUAGGGACAACUUUUGGAAACGAAUGCUAAUACCUGAUACUGUGAGAGAGCUUUGCGUCCCAUUAGCUAGUUGGAGAGGUAACGGCUCACCAAGGCGAUGAUGGGUAGCCAGCCUGGGAGGGUGAUCGGGCACACGGGGACUGGGACACGACCCUUACGGCAACUGGAGGCAGGAGUGGGGGAUAUUGGACAAUAGACCAAAGUCUGAUCCAGCAAUUCGGUGUGCAAGAUGCAGUUUUCGGAAUGUAAAGUGGUUUCAGUUGGGAAGCGGUACCAACAGAAGAAGUGACGGCUAAAUACGUGCCAGCCGCCGCGGUAAUAC